rnacentral:rRNA from 1 species
GGCCCGCGGCGCAUUAGCUAGUUGGUGAGGUAACGGCUCACCAAGGCGACGAUGCGUAGCCGACCUGAGAGGGUGAUCGGCCACACUGGGACUGAGACACGGCCCAGACUCUACGGGAGGCAGCAGUAGGGAAUCUUCCGCAAUGGACGAAAGUCUGACGGAGCAACGCCCCGUGAACGAUGAAGGUCUUCGGAUCGUAAAGUUCUGUUGUUAGGGAAGAACAAGUACCGUGCGAAUAGCGGUACCUUGACGGUACCUAACGAGGAAGCCCCGGCUAACUACGUGCCAGCAGCCGCGGUAAUACGUAGGGCAAGCGUUGUCCGGAAUUAUUGGGCGUAAAGCGCGCGCAGGCGGUUCCUUAAGUCUGAUGUGAAAGCCCACGGCUCAACCGUGGAGGGUCAUUGGAAACUGGGGAACUUGAGGACAGAAGAGGAGAGUGGAAUUCCACGUGUAGCGGUGUAAUGCGUAGAUAUGUGGAGGAACACCAGUGGCGAAGGCGACUCUCUGGUCUGUUUCUGACGCUGAGGUGCGAAAGCGUGGGUAGCAAACAGGAUUAGAUACCCUGGUAGUCCACGCCGUAAACGAUGAGUGCUAGGUGUUAGGGGGCUUCCACCCCUUUGCUGAAGUUAACGCAUUAAGCACUCCGCCUGGGGAGUACGGCCGCAAGGCUGAAACUCAAAGGAUUGACGGGGGCCCGCACAAGCGGUGGAGCAUGUGGUUUAAUUCGAAGCAACGCGAAGAACCUUACCAGGUCUUGACAUCCUUGGACAUCCCUAGAGAUAGGGCUUUCCCUUCGGGGACCAAGUGACAGGUGGUGCAUAUGUCGUCAGCUCGUGUCGUGAGAUGUUGCGUUAAGUCCCGCAACGAGCGCAACCCCUAAUCUUAGUUGCCAGCAUUCAG